GGCCCGGUGGUCUAGGGGUAUGAUUCUCGCUUUCGGUGCGAGAGGUCCCGGGUUCAAAUCCCGGCCGGGCCC
rnacentral:tRNA from 1 species